GGGCAGAUAGUCUAAUUGGUAAGGCAAGUGAUUGUAGCUCACUCGGAUAUUAUCCAUUGGGGGUUCAAGUCCCUCUCUGCUCA
rnacentral:tRNA from 1 species